rnacentral:lncRNA from 1 species
CAUUGCCAACAUAAACUAAUUGCAAACAUCUCUCUCUGUAUCUCUUUGCUAUUUUUUCUAAUUAUAUAUUUGUUUUCAUUUGCUGCAUUUUCAGAUUAGGAAUUUUUGUUGAAUUUGUUAAAAUAAAGUAUAAAUUUAAUUAAAAUGUUUAAAUAUUUGUUGAAUUAUAAUUGUUUGUGGAAGUAAACUGAUAUUAGAAGUAGCAAUUCAAUUAGGUAGCAUGGUGUUAGUUUUCCCAUAAUUAGGCUGCUACUUCUACUAAUUACCGCGAUCGAAACCGCUGAUUUAAUUCUUUGGUUUCAAGUUUUUGGAUGUCUUGUUAAUCU